rnacentral:hammerhead_ribozyme from 1 species
AUUCAACUGACGAGUCCUAAGCAGGACGAGAUGCGUGUCCUGGAU